rnacentral:rRNA from 1 species
UACGGGGGGGGGCAAGCGUUGUUCGGAAUUACUGGGCGUAAAGGGUUCGUAGGUGGUCGACUAAGUCAUACGUGAAAUCCCUCAGCUUAACUGGGGAACUGCGUCUGAUACUGGUUGACUUGAGUGCAGGAGAGGAACGCGGAAUUCCAGGUGUAGCGGUGAAAUGCGUAGAUAUCUGGAGGAACACCGGUGGCGAAGGCGGCGUUCUGGACUGUAACUGACACUGAGGAACGAAAGCCAGGGGAGCAAACGGG